rnacentral:rRNA from 1 species
GCCUAGUCAAGAUGAAGCCAGAGGAAACUCUGGUGGAUGUCUGAAGUUAUUCUGACGUGCAAAUCGAUAAUCUGAUCUGGGUAUAGGGGCGAAAGACUAAUCGAACCAUCUAGUAGCUGGUUCCUUCCGAAGUUUCCCUCAGGAUAGCAAGCGUACAUCUGUAGUUUCAUCCCGUAAAGCGAAUGAUUAGAGGUAUUGGGGCAUAUAUAGCCUCAACCUAUUCUCAAACUUUUAAUGGGUGUGAGUGUUCUUUCUUAAUUGAAGAACGCUGCUAAAUAAGUAUGCUUAGUGGGCCAUUUUUGGUAAGCAGAACUGGCGCUGUGGGUUGAACCAAAUGUUGAGUUAAAGUGCCUAAAGCUGGAAUGCGCAUGAGAUCUAUAAAGGGUGUUAGUUGCUGAAGACAGCAGGACGGUGGCCAUGGAAGUCGAAC